UAAGACAGAUCAUUCCUGACAUUUAUCAAGUGUAAUCACAUUUUUGACAGCAAAUAAGUUAAAAAAAUAAGGCUUCUCAAUAUCAAAAAAGUGGUGUUUGACUUAUAAAUCAACAAUUGUAUUGAAAAGGUUCUGAGCUAUACAGGAAAAAAAGCUUCAUACGAAAUUCAGUAACUGUGUCUGCAGACAAACAACAAUUGUGCGAAGAAAAAGAGUUGGACGCGAGCUGGGUCAUUGUCGUUUUAGGUUUUUUACACAAAUACACAGAAAGAUGGAGAAAACACCUUCCAAACUGAUAACUAAUAAGGAAUCAGCCCAAUGUCAACACGAUGAACUGGCCACCAGCUCAAGUGGAAUACUAAACCACAGCUCAAUAGCCGGGUCUGAAUUGAAACGAAAAUGCCAACAUGAAAUUUCUCAUUUGUGUUCAAAG